GAUUAUGGCUCAGAACGAACGCUGGCGGCAUGGAUUAGGCAUGCAAGUUGAACGAACUCCUUCGGGAGUGAGUAGCGGAAGGGUGAGGAACGCGUGAGUAAUCUGCCCCCCAGUUGGGAAUAACAGUUGGAAACGACUGCUAAUACCGAAUGUGGCUUAAGCUUCGCCUGGAGCUUUGGCUAAAGAUUUAUCGCUGGGGGAUGAGCUCGCGUCCCAUUAGGUAGUUGGUGAGGUAACGGCUCACCAAGCCGACGAUGGGUAGCUGGUCUGAGAGGAUGGUCAGCCACACUGGGACUGAGACACUGCCCAGACUCCUACGGGAGGCUGCAGUCGAGAAUCUUGGGCAAUGCGCGAAAGCGUGACCCAGCAAUGCCGCGUGUAUGAUGAAGGCCCUCGGGUCGUAAAGUACUGUCUCCCGUGACGAAAUUUGACGGUAGCGGGGAAGGAAGCCACGGCUAACUACGUGCCAGCAGCAGC
rnacentral:rRNA from 1 species